rnacentral:rRNA from 1 species
UACGUAGGAUGCAAGCGUUGUCCGGAAUCAUUGGGCGUAAAGCGAACGUAGGCGGUUUCUUAAGUCUGUGCUUAAAGGCCGGGGCUCAACCCCGGGAGUGGCAUGGAUACUGGGAGACUGGAGGACGUCAGAGGAAAGUGGAAUUCCUAGUGUAGCGGUGAAAUGCGUAGAUAUUAGGAGGAACACCAGUGGCGAAAGCGACUUUCUGGGACGUUCCUGACGCUGAGGUUCGAAAGCUCGGGGAGCAAACAGG